AUCAAUGUUUACUAGUUAAGAAAAGCGUGGUGUAGCCUCAUUUUGCCUCGAAUAAGCUUUUGAAGACUGGCUAGUAAAAUCAUAAACCGGCACAGCCCUAAACUAAGGAGUACUAUGAAUCAUCGACUGGUUGCAUUUAUCCUCUUGGUCACAUUUGUCAUCUCUACAAGGGCUUACUUCCUUCGUACAGGCGGAAAACGAGGGGCACUUGCACACAAGAAACGAUCCUCGCUUUGGAAAGCUCGUUCAGCAAACACGCGUGAUCUCAAAGACAAUUUGAAUGAUAUGUUGUGGUCAUGGGUGGAAGACGACAGCAUAGGAGACGAAAACUUCAACGACAAGGAAAUGCCAGAAUAAAUGAUCACGAAUGAGGCCUCAAUAUAUUCAUCUAUGUUUAUUUAACCAGAAGAGUACCCAAUGCAAAAAGUCAUCUUGCGUAAAAAGCAGUCUUAGGUUAUAAAUCAUUAAAAAUGUAAGUUUUGAACAGUGUCGGAGAUCAGUUAAGAACCUACGUUUUGAAUAAAUUUUACCAAAGAGUUCUUGUAUGCGAGAUGAAUAUAUGUAACGUAAUUAUUGUGAAUAAAUAAACAAACAAAAAGUAA